CGACAGGCUUAACACAUGCAAGUCGAGGGGCAGCACAGGUAGCAAUACCGGGUGGCGACCGGCGCACGGGUGAGUAACGCGUAUGCAACUUACCUAUCAGAGGGGGAUAACCCGGCGAAAGUCGGACUAAUACCGCAUGAAGCAGGGGCCCCGCAUGGGGAUAUUUGCUAAAGAUUCAUCGCUGAUAGAUAGGCAUGCGUUCCAUUAGGCAGUUGGCGGGGUAACGGCCCACCAAACCGACGAUGGAUAGGGGUUCUGAGAGGAAGGUCCCCCACAUUGGUACUGAGACACGGACCAAACUCCUACGGGAGGCAGCAGUGAGGAAUAUUGGUCAAUGGCCGAGAGGCUGAACCAGCCAAGUCGCGUGAGGGAUGAAGGUUCUAUGGAUCGUAAACCUCUUUUAUAAGGGAAUAAAGUGCGGGACGUGUCCCGUUUUGUAUGUACCUUAUGAAUAAGGAUCGGCUAACUCCGUGCCAGCAGCCGCGGUAAUACGGAGGAUCCGAGCGUUAUCCGGAUUUAUUGGGUUUAAAGGGUGCGUAGGCGGCCUUUUAAGUCAGCGGUGAAAGUCUGUGGCUCAACCAUAGAAUUGCCGUUGAAACUGGGGGGCUUGAGUAUGUUUGAGGCAGGCGGAAUGCGUGGUGUAGCGGUGAAAUGCAUAGAUAUCACGCAGAACCCCGAUUGCGAAGGCAGCCUGCCAAGCCAUGACUGACGCUGAUGCACGAAAGCGUGGGGAUCAAACAGGAUUAGAUACCCUGGUAGUCCACGCAGUAAACGAUGAUCACUAGCUGUUUGCGAUACACUGUAAGCGGCACAGCGAAAGCGUUAAGUGAUCCACCUGGGGAGUACGCCGGCAACGGUGAAACUCAAAGGAAUUGACGGGGGCCCGCACAAGCGGAGGAACAUGUGGUUUAAUUCGAUGAUACGCGAGGAACCUUACCCGGGUUUGAACGCAUUCGGACCGAGGUGGAAACACCUUUUCUAGCAAUAGCCGUUUGCGAGGUGCUGCAUGGUUGUCGUCAGCUCGUGCCGUGAGGUGUCGGCUUAAGUGCCAUAACGAGCGCAACCCUUGCCACUAGUUACUAACAGGUGAUGCUGAGGACUCUGGUGGGACUGCCAGCGUAAGCUGCGAGGAAGGCGGGGAUGACGUCAAAUCAGCACGGCCCUUACAUCCGGGGCGACACACGUGUUACAAUGGCGUGGACAAAGGGAGGCCACCUGGCGACAGGGAGCGAAUCCCCAAACCACGUCUCAGUUCGGAUCGGAGUCUGCAACCCGACUCCGUGAAGCUGGAUUCGCUAGUAAUCGCGCAUCAGCCAUGGCGCGGUGAAUACGUUCCCGGGCCUUGUACACACCGCCCGUCAAGCCAUGGGAGCCGGGGGUACCUGAAGUCCGUAACCGCGAGGAUCGGCCUAGGGUAAAACUGGUGACUGGGGCUAA
rnacentral:rRNA from 1 species